rnacentral:tRNA from 1 species
GUCAAUAUGUUCGAGUGGUUAAGGAGAUAGACUCGAAAUCUAUUGGGUUUGCCUGCGCAGGUUCGAAUCCUGCUGUUGACG